rfam:Streptococcus sp. DD11 genomic scaffold scaffold00005, whole genome shotgun sequence.
AUUCCUGUGCAACCGCUCGAACAUCGUCCGCUCAGAUUUGAGCCCUAAGUGGUUCGUCCCACGAUGCUAGGCGAGUCUUCACAAAUUC